AGCGAACGCUGGCGGCAGGCUUAACACAUGCAAGUCGAGCGGGCACUUUCGGGUGUCAGCGGCGGACGGGUGCGUAACGCGUGGUAACGUGCCCUCUGGUUCGGAAUCACUCAGGGAAACUUGAGCUAAUACCGGAUACGCCCUUUUGGGGAAAGGCUUGCUGCCGGAGGAUCGGCCCGCGUCUGAUUAGCUGGUUGGUGAGGUAACGGCUCACCAAGGCGAGGAUCAGUAGCUGGUCUGAGAGGAGGAUCAGCCACACUGGGACUGAGACACGGCCCAGACUCCUACGGGAGGCAGCAGUGGGGAAUAUUGGACAAUGGGCGCAAGCCUGAUCCAGCCAUGCCGGGUGAGUGAUGAAGGCCUUAGGGUUGUAAAGCGCUUUUAUCCGGGACGAUAAUGACGGUACCGGAGGAAUAAGCCCCGGCUAACUUCGUG
rnacentral:rRNA from 1 species